AGGACGAACGCUGGCGGCGUGCCUAACACAUGCAAGUCGAACGGGGGUAGCAAUACCCCAGUGGCGAACGGGUGCGUAACACGUGAAGAACUUGUCCAUCGGCGGGGAUAGCCGGCCCAACGGCCGGGUAAUACCGCGUACGCCGUCUGAAGCGCAUGCUUCGGCCGGGAAAGCAGCAAUGCACCGAUGGAGAGCUUUGCGGCCUAUCAGCUAGUUGGCGGGGUAAUGGCCCACCAAGGCGACGACGGGUAGCUGGUCUGAGAGGAUGACCAGCCACAUUGGGACUGAGACACGGCCCAGACUCCUACGGGAGGCAGCAGUGGGGAAUAUUGCGCAAUGGGGGAAACCCUGACGCAGCGACGCCGCGUGUGGGAUGACGGCCUUCGGGUUGUAAACCACUGUCGCGAGGGACGAAAAAAUGACGGUACCUCGAAAGGAAGCACCGGCUAACUCUGCGCCAGCAGCCGC
rnacentral:rRNA from 1 species